rnacentral:lncRNA from 1 species
CAGGGUCCCACAGAAGAUCAAACUACACUUCUCUGUUAUAUGUGUGGGAGGCCGAGUUCAAUUCCAUGAAGGGUCCCUGGUUGGCAGUUCAGUCUCUAGAAUUUCCUUUAAUUUUUGGUAAGUGUUCAAAGGCAGUGUCCCUGAUGGCAGGAGAAGCAUGGCAACAGGAACCGGAAGCUAAGAGAUCACAUUUCCAUUGUGCACAGGAAGCAGAGAGGCAGUAGCACGUGCUUGGACUGCCCUCUAGUGGUCUCUUAGUCACUAACACCCGAGCACCAGAUGCUGCAAGCCAUGACCUUGGAAAGAACACCACUGAUCGUUAGAAAGAGAGUCAUAAAACGAAAUCCAGAAAGAUGGACAAAAUGAGAGGACAGGCCACACCACAGGACAGAGCACAAACAACAAAAGCAGAAAGAAAUGGAGACGUAAAGAAAGUUUAAGGAAGGGUAUGAAGAAGAAGGAAAGGAGGAAUUUCUAUCAACUAGAUGACAUCAUGAAUGUAACAGUAGUAAGGUUGGUAGUGAAAUCACUCCUGAUAAGAGGAGUUUGAAGUCUAUUAGGAAGUGGAAGAGCAAUGAAGUGACUACCCCUACGAGAACAUUUUACAUCACAGUUGCAAAGAACACAUCUAUCCUCUUCAUUAAAUCAACUGGUGUCCUUGAAGCUCCGGCUCAGCUGCCCUCUGACCCAAGAGAAGCAACAAAAUCCUAAAUCUCACUCCUCUGGCAAGAUCCACCAGGAGGUGAUUUGUUGAACAGCUUGUUAUGUGUGUUGAGAGAAGAUCUUCUACAACUAUUAGGAACAAACACAAGCCCAAGUUUUGAAAAAGUCAAGCAAAAAUGAAAUUGAAAUAGGAUGAAAGAACACACUGCAACAUCGGUGAUUAGGCGGAGAUUUGUUUUCCCCUUCUGCGUGUCUUCUCUCUACUGAAUUUCUUUUGAUCCAUGGGGACAUAGGGAAGAGACGAUUGUCCUCACUCCAUCUUCUUCCAAGACCCUCAGAAUGUCUUCCUAGUAGUAGAAAAUAAGACAGAACCACGAUGCUUGAGAAUACACCAGAGCCACGAGAAGAUAAGAGUAAAUGAUAAACAUCAGCUGAGACAAUUUUACUUCAUCAAAAAUCUUCUAAAAGUUCACUUUUCUGCUUUAUUCUGUCUUGUAAAAGUUAAAAAUAAAUCUUUUGCUUGCUUCAUAGGUACUUUUCUGAGACUUGGACACUCAGU